rnacentral:rRNA from 1 species
UACAGAGGGUGCGAGCGUUAAUCGGAAUUACUGGGCGUAAAGCGUGCGUAGACGGUUAUGUAAGUCGGGUGUGAAAGCCCCGGGCUCAACCUGGGAAUUGCAUUCGAGACUGCGUAGCUAGGGUGCGGAAGAGGGAAGCGGAAUUUCCGGUGUAGCGGUGAAAUGCGUAGAUAUCGGAAGGAACACCAGUGGCGAAAGCGGCUUCCUGGUCCAGCACCGACGUCAGGCACGAAAGCGUGGGGGAGCAAAC